AGGGAAGCAGGCUCCCUGCUGAGCAGAGAGCCGGAUGCGGGACUCGAUCCCAGGACUCUGAGAUCAUGACCGAAGGCAGCGGCUUAACCCACUGAGCCACCCAGGCGCCCCAAGAAAUUAAGCCACCAUGCCGUGAGGAGCCCAAAUGAGGUGGAGAGGUCUCAAGUCAGCUCCUACCCGGGAGCCACACCAACUACCAGCCAUGGAGUGAACCAUCUUGGAGCUCUUGCCAGUUGUAUUUUUCCAUGACUCCAGCUUCAGCCAUCAACUGAAUGUCGCCAUAUUACCCGACUGAUUCCAAUUAACCUACGUGACCGUGAGAGAGAAAUAAACAUUUUUCG
rnacentral:lncRNA from 1 species